GUGGGGAAUUUUGGACAAUGGGGGAAACCCUGAUCCAGCGAUGCCGCGUGUGUGAAGAAGGCCUUCGGGUUGUAAAGCACUUUUAGUUGGGACGAGAAGGUUAUCUUGAAUAAAGGUAAUUGGAGACGGUACCGACGGAAUAAGCACCGGCAAACUCUGUGCCAGCAGCCGCGGUAAUACAGAGGGUGCAAGCGUUAAUCGGAAUGACUGGGCGUAAAGGGCGCGUAGGCGGUUAGAUAAAUGAGUGGUGAAAGCUCUGGGCUUAACCUGGAGAAGAAUAUUCAGACUGUCUGACUAGAGUACAGGAGAGGAGAGUGGAAUUUCUGGAGUAGCGGUAGAAUGCGUAGAGAUCAGAAAGAACACCGGAGGCGAAAGCGGCUCUCUGGACUGUAACUGACGCUGAAGUGCGAAAGCGUGGGGAGCAAACAGGAUUAGAAACCCUUGUAGUCC
rnacentral:rRNA from 1 species